UACAGAGGGUGCAAGCGUUGUUCGGACUCCCUGGGCGUACAGCGCACGUAGGCGGAUUGUUAAGUCAGGGGUGAAAUCCUGGAGCUCAACUCCAGAACUGCCUUUGAUACUGGCGAUCUUGAGUCCGGGAGAGGUGAGUGGAACUGCGAGUGUAGAGGUGAAAUUCGUAGAUAUUCGCAAGAACACCAGUGGCGAAGGCGGCUCACUGGCCCGGUACUGACGCUGAGGUGCGAAAGCGUGGGGAGCAAACAGG
rnacentral:rRNA from 1 species